CACCUCUCAGGGUCACUCCUGGAAAGUUUCCAGUACUCUACCAGUCUCGGCUACGUGAGGGAGAGCCAAGCAGAGGCAUACCCAUUCCGUUUGUAGCCUGGCCAGUGGUUAGUGAGUGGAAGGCAAUCUGCUACAAGU